rnacentral:rRNA from 1 species
AUUGAACGCUGGCGGCAGGCCUAACACAUGCAAGUCGAACGAGUGGCGGACGGGUGAGUAAUGUCUGGGAAACUGCCCGAUGGAGGGGGAUAACUACGGGAAACGGUAGCUAAUACCGCAUACCAUCGGAUGUGCCCAGAUGGGAUUAGCUAGUAGGUGGGGUAAAGGCUCACCUAGGCGACGAUCCCUAGCUGGUCUGAGAGGAUGACCAGCCCCACGGGAACUGAGACACGGUCCAGACUCCUACGGGAGGCAGCAGUGGGGAAUAGUGCACAAUGGGCGCAAGCCUGAUGCAGCCAUGCCGCGUGUAUGAAGAAGGCCUUCGGGUUGUAAAGUACUUUCAGCGAGGAGGCGUUACCCGCAGAAGAAGCACCGGCUAACUCCGUGCCAGCAGCCGCGGUAAUAC